UACGUAGGGUGCGUGCGUUGUCCGGAAUUAUUGGGCGUAAAGAGCUCGUAGGCGGUGUGUCACGUCGGCCGUGAAAACCUGCAGCUUAACUGUGGGCGUGCGGUCGAUACGGGCAUCACUGGAGUUCGGCAGGGGAGACUGGAAUUCCUGGUGUAGCGGUGAAAUGCGCAGAUAUCAGGAGGAACACCGGUGGCGAAGGCGGGUCUCUGGGCCGAUACUGACGCUGAGGAGCGAAAGCGUGGGGAGCGAACAGG
rnacentral:rRNA from 1 species